rnacentral:tRNA from 1 species
GCCGCUGUAGCUCAGUUGGUAGAGCGCCCGCCUUGUAAGCGGAUGGUCAGGGGUUCGAGUCCCCUCAGCGGCUCCC